AUAAUCAUUUGUUUUUUAAUUUAAAACUUGUAUGAAAGAGUUGACGAAAAGAUAACUGUCUCUACUUUUAGUAUUGAAAUUGAAUUAGAAGUCAAAAUACUUCUCUUUUUUAGAGGGACGACAAGACCCUAUAAAACUUUACCUUUCAGUUGUAAAAUACUAUCACAGCCAAGGUUUGACUGGGGCGGACAAAAUAAAGCAAUCUCUAUUUUUAAUAUAACACACUGAGUGAUAUCAACCUACAUAUAUAUAAAACAAAUAGUUACUUUAGGGAUAACAGCGUAAUUUUUCUUUAUAGUUCCUAUUGCCAGAAAAGAUUUCGACCUCGAUGUUGAAUUGAAAUUCAAGGUAGAGCAACCCCUACUUGAGCAAGUCUGUUCGACUUA
rnacentral:rRNA from 1 species